rnacentral:lncRNA from 1 species
GUACUACUCAGGUUAAGGCGUGAAACACUGCCGUUCGGUUUCAUACUUCCAUUGCAUAUUUGCAUUGCACACAAGGUGGUCGCCUUUUUGCCUGCUCAGAAGGUGCUCGUCUGUUGGCUUGCCCUUUUUCUUCCUCAGUUCUCUGUAACCCUAUAAUUUCAUUUUGUCUUCUCUAGUUUCUGGUUCCUUUCGGCUCCCAAGUCAUGUCAUCCCGGCCAGGUAAGAGCGAGAAAUUGACUAUUAUUGGACUCCAAACAACUGAUUUCUUGGUUUCUUCUAAAUAGGACUCCAAACGUUGUUUAUAAGAUCUAAUGACAUUUUGGGUCUUUUUAAUCAAUUUUGGUAACUCAAAAUACAUGUAUUUUCAGUUAAUGACUGUAUUGUCCUUCAGCCUCUGUACACAGAUCAAAGUUUUAGUUUCUCUCUAAAAAAAGAUCGACAUUUCCACCGUGAGUCUUCCAUCGCCCGGGCCUGUUCGACUCCGCCGCCGCCCCACCAUGGUGCCGCCUCUCCCCAGUGAUCCACCAUGGACAGAAGCUGAAAAAGGGUCACGGACUGAAGCUAGACAGCAAGACAUGAAAAAAAGCUAGACAAGGUAACACGGAGCCACGGAUAGAAGCCACGGCGAGGAAGUUACGAUGUUUUUUUUUUCUAACAGAGCCGACCAUUACAGUGAAUGAAGGGUAAAAAAGUUACUU